rnacentral:lncRNA from 1 species
GAAGAACCCCUUCUGCAAGCUAGUGUCAACCAACUCAGUCUGUCUGGCUUCCAAAAGAGUCUCCUUCUGCUAUGGUCUAGCUCCUGGGAAUCAGGCCAGUUGUGCAGUCCUGCUCUGCUUCCCUCACUCCCUGGCUACUUCCUCCUGGGAGCACUUACUUCCUUAACAGGUCACUCAUACAUGAAUCUUCAUCUCAGAGUCUGCUUCUGGGGGCAGGACCAAAACCUAAGGAUGCAUUAUUGAGGUUGUCUCUGAAAGCAACAGGAUCAUUAUUCUGCCAGGACUUCACAAGAAGCUUACAGAAAAAAAAUGAAGAUGGCAUGCCUUCUUUCAUCCAGUCAACAAUUCAUAACAAGGCUUCAUACUUUGUCUUUCUAAGAGUAUAAAUAUUGAAGUAUUGAAAAUAAAAAUUGCAGUAUUCUGGGAAACAUGAAUCUUUUACAAAGCUCAUUUCCUCUGCAUUUUACAUUCUCAAUGAUGAGAUAGAGAAUGAGACAUUUCAUUCACCAAUGUCUUUGUGUCUGUUUUCAGCUCCAAGGUUUUGGUGAAAACAGUAAAAUUUGUGUGAUAAGAUAAAAGCAGUAUAUAAAAACUUAACAAUAUUUCAAUUUCCCAACCCUUUCUGUGUAUAUGAUAUUACACAAGGUGCCUCUCAGUGAAAGAGUAACAGGAAUAAUAAAUUUCCAUUUUACAAAUUUUAGCAAAGCCUUUUUUACAUACUUUUUAGAAAAUGAGAAAGUGAAUGACUAAAUUGACUAGAUAACAAAUCCACUUGCAAAUCAUAUGCUUUCCAAUUCCUUCUUUGUGAGUGAUUUGAAGAAGGACCCAAUUGAGUUAUCAACUGAUACAUCAUUAAAAACGCUUUCUGAUAACAUAACAACUAUUUGACUUUUAGUGUGUAACUUGUAAUGGAAUGAUUUUGCUAUAAUAAAACUAUUUCUAUUCAUUUACUUAUCUAGGUGAACAAUGUUUCUUAAUUCUUACCUCUAUAGACAUAAUACAAAUUUACUGUAACCUUUUGAGAACACCAGGUAUAUUAUUUUUAGUUCAUCUCAUGAAAGGCUCAUUCUGUGCACAAGUCU